UACGUAGGGUGCAAGCGUUGUCCGGAAUUAUUGGGCGUAAAGAGCUCGUAGGCGGUCUGUUGCGUCGGCUGUGAAAACCCGGGGCUCAACUCCGGGCCUGCAGCCGAUACGGGCAGACUAGAGUUCGGCAGGGGAGACUGGAAUUCCUGGUGUAGCGGUGGAAUGCGCAGAUAUCAGGAGGAACACCGAUGGCGAAGGCAGGUCUCUGGGCCACUACUGACGCUGAGAAGCGAAAGCAUGGGGAGCGAACAGG
rnacentral:rRNA from 1 species